GCUCAGUUGGUGGAACAUGUGACUCUUGAUCUCAAGGCUUAUUAAUUAAGAACUGGACCUGCAUCUCCUGCAAAUACCAGCCUAACCCGUUAUGGCCGUCUCUCUAGUUGCUCUAGAACUUGAAGCACAUCUGGAUAGCAUUGGGAUAAAAAUCGUCACCCAGUUCAGGUGUAUCCUUUGGCGACGAUGGAUGCAUGGAGAGGAGGGCCAUAGAGAAGCAGACGGAGAUACCUGCUAAAGUGAGGCAAGUUGGUGCUUCCUUAACCCAGCCUCCGCGUUGGACUCUGCAACAGCCUAAACCGUGUUCCAUUCAGUUUGCCCCGCUCACCACUCCUCUGCCUCAGGAACGCAGCCCGGACUUUAGAGGAAGUGUGGGGUGGAAGGAAGUGGGCAUAGAAGGGUGCAGGGCUCUUGAAGUGAAGAGCCAUAACGUCUUUGUCACCGAAGCCUGCCUCAGGAGCUUUCAGGGAGUUCCUUUUGUUUAUUUGGCUUUAAUUUAUGGCCCUUUGGUUAAUUUCUCUAGUGGUUGCUUAUGCCCUCUCUGCGCACCCCCACCUUCCCCCAGCCCAUCAGAGAUAGAGCUUAACUAUCCACGAAAAGAUCCAGACAGGUCUCCGCCUCCGUCCUGGUG